rnacentral:rRNA from 1 species
UAGGGAAUAUUAGAAAUGGACGAAAGUCUGAUCUAGCAACACCGCGUGUGCGAAGAAGGCCUUCGGGUUGUAAAGCACUUUUUGGCAGGAUUAGGAAGGAAUGUACUUCCAGAAUAAGUCUCGGCUAACUACGUGCCAGCAGCCGCGGUAACACGUAGGAGGCAAACGUUAUCCGGAUUUACUGGGCGUAAAGCGCGUGUAGGUGGUUCUGUAAGUAGGGCGUGAAAGCUCCUGGCUCAACGGGGAGAGGCCGUUCUAAACUGCAGAGCUAGAGGAUGGUAGAGGGAGGUGGAAUUCCGGGUGUAGCGGUGGAAUGCGCAGAUAUCCGGAGGAACACCAGUGGCGAAAGCGGCCUCCUGGACCAUUCCUGACACUCAGACGCGAAGGCUAGGGUAGCAAACG